rnacentral:misc_RNA from 1 species
UACGGAGGAUCCAAGCGUUAUCCGGAAUCAUUGGGUUUAAAGGGUCCGUAGGUGGACGAUUAAGUCAGAGGUGAAAGUCGGCGGCUCAACCGUAGAAUUGCCUUUGAUACUGGUUGUCUUGAAUCAUUGUGAAGUGGUUAGAAUAUGUAGUGUAGCGGUGAAAUGCAUAGAUAUUACAUAGAAUACCGAUUGCGAAGGCAGAUCACUAACAAUGUAUUGACACUGAUGGACGAAAGCGUGGGUAGCGAACGGG